CUAAAGUUACUAAUGUCAAAGGUCGGGAAAUGUUUGCAUUUUUUUUUCCCUAGCCUAAAUUCCAAUAUUCUCGUAAAUACUUCUCGCUCUCAAAUCUCUCUCUUCGAGAGUUCUCUCUCAGAUCUAGCUCUUUCUCAGGCUCCCUCAAUUUGGAAUUGAAUCACAACGGGUCUCCCACCGCAAGCCAUAACUCUUUGGAUCCAACACUUUGAACUCGCAGUAUCAGAGAAGAAAUUCUGCGAACAAGUGCUGGGAGGCAUAAUGGAGGGCUUGGUGUCCAGAUCUUUAGUUCAGUGGAAAUGAAUUGAUUGUCAGGCGACUUUGGAAGGCCAACUUGAGGGUUGCUUAGGCGAUUUGGGUAUUCCGUGGAUAUCCAUAGAGUAGUACUGGGAGGCAUAAUGGACGGACUGGUGUGGCCAGAAUGCUUUGUAAAUCUCGCAGAUAAAAUCAUGGCGGUAUUCUUCAGAUUCGCCGAUACCCGGAGCAGCAAAGAGCCACAAAAACUUGAACAGACAGUCUGGGCUUCAAAUUGAAGGAAACUCAGAUGGCGGAGUGCCACCCCCACGAGAUGAAUUAAUGUAUGCUAGAAAAAAAGAAGAAGAGGACAGUCAAUUGAAGAACUAAAAUAUAAAUAUGUGAAAAUCUAAAUAAUUUAAUAAAAUUCAAUAAAAAAAUUUGUGCGGAGUUGUGAUUUAAGUGGGAACACCAAAUGCAUUAUGUUGGGUAAAAAUUGCACAAAGU